UACGGAGGGGGCAAGCGUUGUUCGGAAUUACUGGGCGUAAAGGGCGCGCAGGCGGCUGCUCAAGUCAGGCGUGAAAGGCCUGGGCUCAACCCGGGAAUUGCGCUUGAGACUGGGCUGGCUUGAGUGCGGGAGAGGAUGGUGGAAUUCCCAGUGUAGAGGUGAAAUUCGUAGAUAUUGGGAAGAACACCGGUGGCGAAGGCGGCCAUC
rnacentral:rRNA from 1 species